UCCCUGGUGGUUCAAUGGUUAGGACUCUCUGCUUCCACUGAAGGGGGCACAGGUUCGAUCCCUGGUUGGGGAA
rnacentral:tRNA from 1 species